AAAAUUAAUAAUUAAAAAGAUGUGGCAGCCAUUGUAAAUAAGUUCUAACUCUAGGAUUUAUUUCACAAAAUGGCUUUAAAAAUGUAUAUGUAGAUGAUACUCAAUUAUAUCAGUUACCUAAAU
rnacentral:sRNA from 1 species